UGUAAGGAAAGCCGAGUGUGUGCUCAAGGGUCUAGCUAGAAAGUCAUGGAGCCAGACUUCAAACUCACAUCUUCUGAUCUGAAGUUAGUUCUCCCAUGAGAGCAGGCAGCACCCCUCAACCUCGGCAGGCAGCAGAGGAGGGCGUAGAGCUUGCAGGCUUCAGGUUUGGCUUCCAGUCCUGCCUCUGCUAACCAAAUGUAUGAAUUGGUCCAGUGUCUGGAUCUCAAUUUUCUUAUAAAGUGGUUAUAGUCAGUGAUGCUCUGGGGCCAGUUCAUUCAGGCUCCUGAAAGCCAACUGUGUGUGUUUCUUCCCAACCUGUGUUCAGUGGCAUGAGGUGGGCCGGCUUGAAGUAGGUCACGGCAGAACUGUGGCUACCACAGAAAUGACCAAAGGUAGCUGGGUGUGGUGGCUCAGACCUGUAGUCCCAGUGACUCAGGAGGCUGAGGCAGAAGGACCAAAUUUUGAGACCAGCCUGGAUAACUUAGCAAGACCCUGUCUCAAAAUAAAAAGUGAAAAGGACUGGGGAUGUAGCUCAGUGGUAGAGUACUGCAGGGUUCAAUCCCCAGGACUGGAAAGAAAAAAGAAAUAAAAGGGCAAAUGUUACAAGUCAAGACUUUCCUCCCUCUAGACAGUUUGUUACACAUUUUCCAGUACACCCCACAUGUCCAUCCUGGGGAAAGAGCAUAUACAAAUAAUCACCAACUUAUAUGAAAGGGUCUCACACAUGUUGAAGUACUUACAAAUAUAGUCACUGACAUUAUUCAAUAAGCAAAUAUUGAGGAGCCUGGCCUUCCCGUGGGCUGACGCUUGGGCCUCUGUGAGCAACAGAGUACUGGGAUUGAUGGGCCAGGGCUGGAC
rnacentral:lncRNA from 1 species